GAAUGUGAGGGCAAUCUGGCUGUGAUAUCCAUCACUUCAUUGAUCACCAGGGUUAAUUUGGCUGAUCUGGCUGGAUAAGUGCUUCUCUCUAAGCAGCAUGCUCAGGUUGAGUGGGAAGGCCUUCCCAGAAUACAGACUGACCAGUCUUCCCUUGAGGGUACACUCCCCUGCUAGAACCCAAACAAGUUCUCAAAAGUCUGAAGAAUUAUAUAAUGCAUAUACCAUUCAAAUGAUGUGAUGAAAUUUAUAGCAUUGAUU
rnacentral:snRNA from 1 species